GUGCCAGCAGCCGCGGUAAUACAGAGGGUGCGAGCGUUAAUCGGAAUUACUGGGCGUAAAGGGCGCGUAGGUGGUUACUUAAGUCAGAUGUGAAAUCCCUGGGCUUAACCUAGGAAUUGCAUUUGGUACUGAGUGGCUAGAGUAUGGGAGAGGUAAGUGGAAUUUCCGGUGUAGCGGUGAAAUGCGUAGAUAUCGGAAGGAACACCAGUGGCGAAGGCGACUUACUGGCCCAUUACUGACACUGAGGCGCGAAAGCGUGGGGAGCGAACAGGAUUAGAUACCCUGGUAGUCCACGCCGUAAACGAUGAGAACUAGAUGUUAGGGGGCUUAGACCCUUUAGUAUCGCAGCAAACGCGUUAAGUUCUCCGCCUGGGGAGUACGGCCGCAAGGUUAAAACUCAAAGGAAUUGACGGGGGCCCGCACAAGCGGUGGAGCAUGUGGUUUAAUUCGAUGCAACGCGAAGAACCUUACCUACCUUUGAAUCCACGGAAUCUUGCAGAAAUGUAGGAGUGCCUUCGGGAACCGUGAGACAGGUGCUGCAUGGCUGUCGUCAGCUCGUGUCGUGAGAUGUUGGGUUAAGUCCCGUAACGAGCGCAACCCUUGUCCUUAGUUACCAGCGAGUUAUGUCGGGGACUUUAAGGAGACUGCCGGUGAUAAACCGGAGGAAGGUGGGGAUGACGUCAAGUCCUCAUGGCCCUUACAGGUAGGGCUACACACGUGCUACAAUGGUCGGUACAAAGGGUUGCCAACCCGCGAGGGGGAGCUAAUCUCAAAAAGCCGAUCGUAGUCCGGAUUGGAGUCUGCAACUCGACUCCAUGAAGCUGGAAUCGCUAGUAAUCGCGGAUCAGAACGCCGCGGUGAAUACGUUCCCGGGCCUUGUACACACCGCCCGUCACACCAUGGGAGUGGGUUGUACCAGAAGCAGGUAGACUAACCGCAAGGAGGUCGCCUACCACGGUAUGAUUCAUGACUGGGGUGAAGUCGUAACAAGGUAGCCGUAGGGGAACCUGCGGCUGGAUCACCUCCUUCUAGACUGCAGAA
rnacentral:rRNA from 1 species